rnacentral:rRNA from 1 species
UACGGGGGGGGCAAGCGUUGUUCGGAAUUACUGGGCGUAAAGGGCUCGUAGGCGGCCAACUAAGUCAGACGUGAAAUCCCUCGGCUUAACCGGGGAACUGCAUCUGAUACUGGAUGGCUUGAGUUUGGGAGAGGGAUGCGGAAUUCCAGGUGUAGCGGUGAAAUGCGUAGAUAUCUGGAGGAAUACCGGUGGCGAAGGCGGCAUCCUGGACCAUUACUGACGCUGAGGCGCGAAAGCUAGGGGAGCAAACGGG